rnacentral:rRNA from 1 species
UACGUAGGGGGCAAGCGUUGUCCGGAUUUAUUGGGCGUAAAGAGCGUGUAGGCGGCCAGGUAGGUCUGCUGUGAAAACUCGAGGCUUAACCUCGAGCUGUCGGCGGAAACCAUCUGGCUAGAGUCCGGAAGAGGAGAAUGGAAUUCCCGGUGUAGCGGUGAAAUGCGCAGAUAUCGGGAAGAACACCCGUGGCGAAGGCGGCAUCCUGGACCGACAUUGACGCUGAGGAGCGAAAGCUAGGGGAGCAAACGGG